rnacentral:rRNA from 1 species
UAGUGGCGAACGGGUGAGUAACACGUGGGCAAUCUGCCCUGCACUCUGGGACAAGCCCUGGAAACGGGGUCUAAUACCGGAUAUGACCACCGGCCGCAUGGUCUGGUGGUGGAAAGCUCCGGCGGUGCAGGAUGAGCCCGCGGCCUAUCAGCUUGUUGGUGGGGUGAUGGCCUACCAAGGCGACGACGGGUAGCCGGCCUGAGAGGGCGACCGGCCACACUGGGACUGAGACACGGCCCAGACUCCUACGGGAGGCAGCAGUGGGGAAUAUUGCACAAUGGGCGCAAGCCUGAUGCAGCGACGCCGCGUGAGGGAUGACGGCCUUCGGGUUGUAAACCUCUUUCAGCAGGGAAGAAGCGCAAGUGACGGUACCUGCAGAAGAAGCACCGGCUAACUACGUGCCAGCAGCCGCGGUAAUACGUAGGGUGCGAGCGUUGUCCGGAAUUAUUGGGCGUAAAGAGCUCGUAGGCGGCUUGUCGCGUCGGAUGUGAAAGCCCGGGGCUUAACCCCGGGUCUGCAUUCGAUACGGGCAGGCUGGAGUUCGGCAGGGGAGAUUGGAAUUCCUGGUGUAGCGGUGAAAUGCGCAGAUAUCAGGAGGAACACCGGUGGCGAAGGCGGAUCUCUGGGCCGAUACUGACGCUGAGGAGCGAAAGCGUGGGGAGCGAACAGGAUUAGAUACCCUGGUAGUCCACGCCGUAAACGUUGGGCACUAGGUGUGGGCGGCAUUCCACGUCGUCCGUGCCGCAGCU